rnacentral:rRNA from 1 species
GUGCCAGCAGCCGCGGUAAUACGUAGGGGGCGAGCGUUGUCCGGAUUCAUUGGGCGUAAAGCGCGCGCAGGCGGCCUGGCAAGUCGGCCGUGAAAUCUCCGGGCUCAACUCGGAGGGGUCGGGCGAGACUGCGAGGCUGGAGGCGGGUAGAGGGCAGUGGAAUUCCGGGUGUAGUGGUGGAAUGCGUAGAGCUCCGGAGGAACACCAGUGGCGAAGGCGGCUGCCUGGGCCCGGCCUGACGCUGAGGCGCGAAAGCGUGGGGAGCGAUCCGGAUUAGAUACCCUGGUAGUCC